rnacentral:misc_RNA from 1 species
AAGCUUGUAAAGGACUGGCUUCCUGUUCUGAUUGUAUGCAAAGACAAUGUAUCACCAAUGUCGCCUAGUCAUAAAUCACUGUAUGUAGAGCUGGAAGAGACAUUCUUAAGAAUUAUCUCUACAUUGCCUAUGUCAGAUGCACAAGAGUUGUUGCAGCAGUGCCUCAGCUUCUCAACUCGAAAUGUUGAAGAUUGUCCUCA